UCUACGGGUGGCAGCAGUGAGGAAUAUUGGUCAAUGGACGAGAGUCUGAACCAGCCAAGUAGCGUGAAGGAUGACUGCCCUAUGGGUUGUACACUUCUUUUAUAUGGGAAUAAAACGUUCCACGUGUGGGCUUUUGUAUGUCCCAUAUGAAUAAGGAUCGGCUAACUCCGUGCCAGCAGCCGCGGUAAUACGGAGGAUCCGCGCGUUAUACGGAUUUAUUGGGUUUAAAGGGAGCGUAGGUGGAUUGUUAAGUCAGUUGUGAAAGUUUGCGGCUCAACCGUAAAAUUGUAGUUGACACUGGCAGUCGUGAGUACAGUAGAGGUGGGCGGAAUUCGUGGUGUAGCGGUGAAAUGCUUAGAUAUCACGAAGAACUCCGAUUGCGAAGGCAGGUCACUGGACUGCAACUGACACUGAGGCUCGAAAGUGUGGGUAUCAAACAGGAUUAGAUACCCGGGUAGUC
rnacentral:rRNA from 1 species